GAUGAACGCUGGCGGCGUGCCUAAUACAUGCAAGUCGAACGCUGGAGAUCUAGCUUGCUAGAUCGAAGGAGUGGCGAACGGGUGAGUAAUACAUAAGCAACCUACCCACGAAGACUGGGAUAAUCUCUGGAAACGGGGACUAAUACCGGAUAGGUAAUCGGAAGGCAUCUUCUGGUUAUUAAAGGUUAAAAACACUGGUGGAUGGGCUUAUGGCGCAUUAGUUAGUUGGUGAGGUAACGGCCCACCAAGACGAUGAUGCGUAGCCGGCCUGAGAGGGUGAACGGCCACAUGGGGACUGAGACACGGCCCAGACUCCUACGGGAGGCAGCAGUAGGGAAUUUUCAGCAAUGGGGGCAACCCUGACCGAGCAACGCCGCGUGAGUGAAGACGGCCUUCGGGUUGUAAAGCUCUGUUGUAAGGGAAGAACGGUAGAUAGAGAAUAUCUAAGUGACGGUACCUUACCAGAAAGCCACGGCUAACUACGUG
rnacentral:rRNA from 1 species